rnacentral:pre_miRNA from 1 species
AUGAAUUUUUAGUUUCAGUAAUAAUAAUAAAGAGUAAUGAUCCUAUGAGACCCUCCCACACCCAUGUAUGUAGGACCCCAAAGGAUCACCAUUAAAUUUGGCACAGAUCUCUAGAAAAGUUAUCACAUGAGUGUGGGACUUGACUUUUCUAGAGAUCUGUGCCAAAUUUAAUGAUGAUCAUUUGGGGUCCUACACACAUGGGUGUGAGAGGGUCUCAUAGGAUCAUUACUCAAUAAUAAAUAAAAGAAAAAAGAAGAUGCAU